rnacentral:tRNA from 2 species
GCCGAAGUGGUGGAAUCUGGUAGACACGCCAUCUUGAGGGGGUGGUGCCAGACCGGGCGUGGGGGUUCGAAUCCCCCCUUCGGCA